rnacentral:rRNA from 1 species
AGCUCCAAUAGCAUAUAUUAAAGUUGUUGCAGUUAAAAAGCUCGUAGUUGGAUUUCUGGCAUGAUGCGCCUGGCCCGCCUCGAUUACGAGUGUGUGUGCGAGCGCGCGUCUGCCAUCCAUUUGCAGAAUAUAUCUACCCUUCAUUGGGCCGGAUAUGUGAUGUAAAUCUUUUACUUUGAAAAAAUUAGAGUGUUUAAAGCAGGCAUUUGCUAUGAAUACAUUAGCAUGGAAUAAUAAUCUAGGACUUCGGUUCUAUUUUGUUGGUUUCUAGAUCUGAAGUAAUGAUUGAUAGGGAUAGUUGGGGGUGCUAGUAUUAAGGGGCCAGAGGUGAAAUUCUUGGAUUCUCUUAAGACUAACUUAUGCGAAAGCAUUCACCAAGGAUGUCUUCUUUAAUCAAGAA